CUCAACCGUAAGGAGGGGGAUGCCUAAGGCAGGGCUAGUGACUGGGGUGAAGUCGUAACAAGGUAGCCGUACCGGAAGGUGUGGCUGGAUCACCUCCUUAAAGGGAGACCUAAUUCAGGUAGGCGACGAAAAAAAAGUAGUCCCAACCAAGAAUCAAUCCCAAAAGGUCGGAGCGAGGCAAAAUUGGCUUUCAAACUAGGUUCUGGGUUCACACAAGACCUGAAUCAGGAACAAGGGCUAUUAGCUCAGGUGGUUAGAGCGCACCCCUGAUAAGGGUGAGGUCCCUGGUUCGAGUCCAGGAUGGCCCACCUGCACAGGUGGCAAAAACAAAGAAGCGAGGAAUCAGCACCUUAUCUUAUUUAUAUAGUAAGAGAGAAUGCUGGCUCUGAGUUCAGAGUCCAGAGGAACCUUGAAAACUGCAUAGAGCUAGGUGAAAAAGCCAAAAAAGAAGACCGCAAGGUCAAGCUAAUAAGGGCUAACGGUG
rnacentral:misc_RNA from 1 species